AGCGAACGCUGGCGGCAGGCUUAACACAUGCAAGUCGAGCGGGCCCUUCGGGGUCAGCGGCAGACGGGUGAGUAACGCGUGGGAACGUGCCCUUCGGUUCGGAAUAACUCAGGGAAACUUGAGCUAAUACCGGAUACGCCCUUAUGGGGAAAGGCUUGCUGCCGAAGGAUCGGCCCGCGUCUGAUUAGCUAGUUGGUGAGGUUAUGGCUCACCAAGGCGACGAUCAGUAGCUGGUCUGAGAGGAUGAUCAGCCACACUGGGACUGAGACACGGCCCAGACUCCUACGGGAGGCAGCAGUGGGGAAUAUUGGACAAUGGGGGCAACCCUGAUCCAGCCAGGCCGCGUGAGUGAUGACGGCCUUAGGGUUGUAAAGCUCUUUUCUCCGGGACGAUAAUGACGGUACCGGAGGAAUAAGCCCCGGCUAACUUCGUG
rnacentral:rRNA from 1 species